GACGAACCGUCCAAACGUUACUCGGAAUUACUGGGCUUAAAGGGUGCGUAGGCUGCGCGGAAAGUUGGGUGUGAAAUCCCUCGGCUCAACCGGGGAAUUGCAUCCAAAACUACCGUGCUCGAGGGAGACAGAGGUAAGCGGAACUCAAGGUGGAGCGGUGAAAUGCGUUGAUAUCUUGAGGAACACCGGUGGCGAAAGCGGCUUACUGGGUCUCUUCUGACGCUGAGGCACGAAAGCUAAGGUAGCAAACGGG
rnacentral:rRNA from 1 species